CAUUUGGUUUCUUUGAGGUAUAAACUUUGGUACACAGGAAAGGUGAGCGCAAGGAAUGGGGUUGGUAUCAUCAUUGAUGGAACAUGGAAA